AUGGCACAGAUCCCAAACCUCGAUAACGCGCCGCUCAAUCUCACUGCCUUCAGGGAGCAGUCACAGAAGGAACUCGUCAGCAUAAUCAAGAGCAUCAGGGGGAACAAGUGUCUGGUCAUCGAUCCGAAGCUCGCGGGCACCCUCUCGCUGAUCCUGCACACCUCGGCGCUAAAGGAACAUGUCACGGAGCUGCGGGUCCUCUCCGCCGAGCCUCUGCAGACGGAGUGCCCCAAGGUGGUGUACCUUGUUCGGUCGCAGCUCAGCUUGAUGAAAUUCGUGGCAAAUCAAAUCAAGAACGACGAAUCCAAGGGGCUCCAGAGGGAAUACCACCUCUAUUUCGUGCCACGUCGUCUAGUUGCCUGUGAGAUGAUUCUGGAGGAAGAGAAAGUUCAUCAAAAGUUGGCAAUAAUCGGAGAAUACCCCUUGUAUCUGGUUCCUUUGGAUGAGGAUGUCAUUUCUUUUGAGCUUGGUGAUGAUGACUAUUCCUCACAGGAAUGUCACCUUAUGGAAGGGGAUACGGCGACUUCUGCCUGGCACGUUGCAGAAGCUAUUCAUAGGCUAGAGCUUGCCUUUGGAGUCAUCCCCAAUGUUAGAGCCAAGGGUGUGGCAUCAACCAAAGCUGCCCAGCUGCUCAACCAUAUGCACCUCCAAGACCCUGUCGACAUGGAUGACAUGGGGAUUCCAGAGAUAGAGACCGUUAUCUUGCUAGAUCGAGAGGUGGACAUGGUGACACCAAUGUGCUCUCAGCUAACGUAUGAAGGCCUCUUAGACGAGAUGUUGGAAAUUCAUAACGGAUCUGUGCAAGUUGAUGCCGGCAUCAUGCGCGCCCAACAAGAUGGGAAAAAGAUCAAGGUUCCGCUCAAUUCGAGCGAUAAGUUGUACAGGGAGAUUCGAGACCUCAGCUUCCAUGUUGUGCUUCGGGUCGUCCACCAAAAGGCAACGUCUAUUCAGCAAAAUUACGCGCAGGUAAAAUCAAUGAACACACAGUCGGUUUCCGAGCUCAAGGAUUUUGUGAAGAGGUUACACUCACUACCGGAGAUAACCAGGCAUGUUAAUUUGGCGCACCAUCUGCAGUCGUUUGCUGGAAAACCCUUGUUUCAUGCCCGAGUAGAGAUUGAGCAAAAGAUGCUGGAGGCGAAGGACUAUGAAACGUGUUACAAGUACAUUGAGGAGAUCAUACAGAAGCAAGGGCCUAUUGAGACUGUGCUUCGCCUUCUGGUGUUAUUUUCCCUUACAAAUGCUGGGUUGCCGAGGAAGAGUUUUGACUACCUGAGGCGGGAGAUACUGCACAGCUAUGGCUUUGAGCACAUGCCCUUGUUAUACAAUCUGGAGAAGGCUGGCCUUGUUAAAGGGCGGGAAUCGAGGAGUAAUUGGGCUAUUAUCAGGAGAGGUCUCCAGCUUAUAGUUGAUAUAAAGGAUCCUGAUUCCCCUGAUGAUGUAUCAUACGUCUUUGCUGGAUACGCGCCUCUUAGCAUUCGCCUUGUUCAGCAUGCAGUGAAGUCUGGAUGGCGAUCUAUCGAAGAAGUGUUGAAAUUGUUGCCGGGCCCUCAUCUGGAUUUGAAAAGAGGUGUCUCGACCAUUAGUGGUUCAUCAGAAUUACUAUCAGCCGAGGACGCAAGACAGAAUACCGACAGGGUUGGUCGUCGCUCCGUUGUUCUGGUUGUGUUUGUUGGUGGCGUAACAUUUGCUGAGAUUGCCUCGCUUCGAUUUCUUGGUGCACAGGAAGGAAUGGGCUGUGACUUCGUGGUUGCAACAACAAAGGUCAUCACCGGCAACACAUUACUUAGACCAAUUAUAGCCAGCAGCAAAGAGGGAAUGAUUUAG
rnacentral:rRNA from 1 species